UAGUUUAUAUUAGUUUUGAGUAUAUGUAUAUAUAACUAUUGGGAGUUUUGCUUUAUUAAUUUAAGAAUUGUAAAUUACUUUGUAAGUUUCGGUAACUAUGCACUUGCAACUCUAUAACAUUCAGUAUUAGACAACACUUCUAAACUAUGGAAAAAUAUAGAAGUUAAAUAUUUCUUCAUUUUUUUCAAACUCAAUAACUUUUCCGUGCAUGUUCGUGACUAGUUUAAACAAAAAGCUAGUUUUUAAUCCGUUGCCAUACACGUACCUAGUAAAUCUCUCUAAAAUAUAUAAUAAAAAAGUCCAACUCUGAAAACACGAAAAAUAAAAAAUUGAAUCCUCUCUCCCAGCCAAGAAAGAGGGAGAAAAUUUUAAAGGGUUGGCUGACUAGCUCAUUUGAACUUUGAAGAUUGUACACAUAAAGUGAUGUGCAUUAGAGUCAGCUGAGGUAGACCUUAGCCCAUGGUUUAAGUUGUUAAAAUUUCAUUGCAUUUAAACCAGAUUUCUAUUUUUAUCAGAGACCAAUACAAUGCUUUUUGUCUUAGGGUUUUUCAAAUAAUACAUUUUAGAUGUAAUUAACUAAUUAUCAUUCUGGCACAUUGUAGGAGAGGAUGUCACCAAGGCAGUCCUUGCUAUUCUGAAUGAAGAUUUUCCUCAUGCACUCUUGGUCAUUAAUUGCAAUUGAAGCCAACCUCCUUUAUAGAGCAAAUCCAAACUCAAGGUAACAAGGGCUUUACAUGCAAAGUGGGACUAGGCCAAUUGAAUCAAGCCAACUUACAUCCAGCCAUGCAUGAAUUCAAGAAAAGACCAACCCAAUUAAAUUUAAGUUCAAUUGGAGUAAGGAAUCAAAGGAAAUUUGCACCAAAUCCAAGUCCAAUUCGGAUUAGGAUUCCAGACUGCACGUCAGUUAGUAUUUUUGGUAUAACUUUCGGCUCAGAUGUCCAAUCAGGAUGAUUCAAGUUGGGCUGAAACGAUAACUUAAAGGGCUACAACUUUGUAGUUUAUCAAAAGUCCAAAUUCUGACGUUAAAUGGGCCAAAACCGUCGGUUAAGUGAAGCCUAAAAAUUUGGGAUUUUCUCCAAACGGGAAUUCAACUUGUAAUAGGAUUCCUUGAUCUAUUUAAGGGCUCUUUAGGGCAAAAUUCAGGGAGGCUGAGGCGGAGGCUAGUACUAGGGCUGAGGGCUGAAUGUAUAGAGAGUGCGACUACUUCUUUGGUUUUCUUCCAUGACAGUUAGUUUUAUUUUAUUCUUCUAGUUUAAUGUUUAGUAUUUUAUUUUUGUGUUUUCUUUCAAUUACUAUGAGUAGCUAAAUUUAUAAUUAGGGUUGAGGAUGAAACCUUGUUAAGGAUUAUCAAUAAUAUUUAUGUGAUUUGAUUUUUCCCACAA